CAGCAACAGAGGAUUAACAGUAAGAAAUGAUGACAAAUGCAAAUGAUGUGAUGAUAUUAUGUAAUCAAGAUAAUUAAUCGUCAUAUUGCCAUCCUUAAAAAAAAAAAAAAAAAAUGCACAUCUUUAUCUCACAAACAAGUAAGUGACAAAGUGCAAGGAUAUUGGGUCUUUGUAUUUGAAUUUUAUGCCCCUUUUUUAUUGGAAGUUAAAAAAUAAAUAAAUAGUGAUAUUAGUAAAAUGGUGAACAUAAUGAUAUAUGAGUGAUAUUAGAAUUAGUUGCUUUUAUGGAUAUAGAUUUUUUUAUUUUUCUUUACCGAAAUAUUUAUAAGUAUAUAAAAUGUUUCUGUGAUAAAUGUAUCAAGAGGAUCAACUUGCUUUUAAAUGUGAUGAAAAUUACUUACAUGAGCAAUUUUCUUUGUGAUUAAUGUUAUACACCUCUUGCGUGACAAUCCUAUCAAUAUUUUAUUGGUAAUUUACCUGCAUUGCACAAAAAAUUAACUGCAUUAGAUUAUUAUUAUCAUUUUUUAUUUAUUUAUUUAUUUUUGCAUAAAUUGUUAAUGGUAAAUAUAUAUAUUUUUCGCAACACCUUCCUGGACCAUGGACGGGGAAAAAGUGGCGAAGAAGAGGAACUAGAAAAGGAGAGUUAAAAGAGAGAAAGGAAAGGGCAACACCCGGUGAAAGGAGAGGGAAUAAUGUUCGAGAUCCUGAGGAUGGCUGGCGUCUGGAAGGGCAUCCAGGAACGAAGACGAAGACCCAGUGAAUGGUGAGGGGAGGAAAUGCGGUCGAGCCCCUGAGGAUGGCUGGCGUCUGGAAGGGCAUCCGGGAGGGAAGGCGAACACCCAGUGGAAGUAUUGUAUGGGACGAGGUUGAGGAAACAUCAUAGGGGAGACAUGGAAAGGAGUUCCGAAACCAUUACACGAAAUUGGCAUCAUAGUUAACCGUUUUCUUGUGAACCAAGGUGGAUACGAGCAUUGCAUUUUGCCGUUUCUGCAACCUCUGCUGAGAUUUCGCUGAACAAGAGCCAAAGUAAGAACUGACACAAUAUCUCGGUUUUUGGUUUAGGAUUAUGGUAUUCGUAUGUAGUAUGUCAGAGUUUAUUAUGUUCACACACACACACACACACACACACACACACACACACACACACACACACACACACACA